AGUGAACGCUGGCGGCGUGCUUAACACAUGCAAGUCGAACGAGAACGGGUUAUAGCUUGCUAUAAUUGUCAGCUAAGUGGCGCACGGGUGAGUAAUGUAUAGGUAAUAUGCCUCUUACUAAGGGAUAACAAAUGGAAACGUUUGCUAAUACCUUAUACUCCUUAUUAACAGAAGUUAAUAAGGGAAAGAUUUAUCGGUAAGAGAUUAGCCUGUAUUGUAUCAGUUAGUUGGUGGGGUAAUGGCCUACCAAGACUAUGACACAUAACUGGUUUGAGAGGAUGAUCAGUCACACUGGAACUGAGACACGGUCCAGACUCCUACGGGAGGCAGCAGUGGGGAAUAUUGCACAAUGGACGAAAGUCUGAUGCAGCAACGCCGCGUGGAGGAUGACACAUUUCGGUGCGUAAACUCCUUUUAUAUGAGAAGAUAAUGACGGUAUUAUAUGAAUAAGCACCGGCUAACUCCGUGCCAGCCGCCGCCGUAAGAC
rnacentral:rRNA from 1 species